AACGAACGCUGGCGGCAGGCUUAACACAUGCAAGUCGAACGCAUCCUUCGGGGUGAGUGGCAGACGGGUGAGUAACGCGUGGGAACGUGCCCUUCAGUUCGGGAUAACCCAGGGAAACUUGGGCUAAUACCGGAUACGUGCGAGAGCAGAAAGAUUUAUCGCUGAAGGAUCGGCCCGCGUCUGAUUAGCUAGUUGGUGGGGUAAUGGCCCACCAAGGCGACGAUCAGUAGCUGGUCUGAGAGGAUGAUCAGCCACAUUGGGACUGAGACACGGCCCAAACUCCUACGGGAGGCAGCAGUGGGGAAUAUUGGACAAUGGGCGCAAGCUUGAUCCAGCCAUGCCGCGUGAGUGAUGAAGGCCUUAGGGUUGUAAAGCUCUUUCGUCCGGGACGAUAAUGACGGUACCGGAAGAAGAAGCCCCGGCUAACUUCGUGCCAGCAGCCGCCGUAA
rnacentral:rRNA from 1 species